AUGGUACUUACGGUCGAGCGGGAAGAAGGAAAAACCUUGAAAGUUCAGCGCCCAGUGUAUUAUAUUUCUGAAGUCUUGACCCCAUCGAAGCAAAGAUAUCCUCAUCAUCAGAAGCUCGUAUAUGGGAUUUAUAUGACCACAAAGAAAGUUGCCCACUACUUCUUUGAUCAUUCCAUUACAGUCAUCAGCGACGCUCCAUUGUCAGAGAUCUUGCAUAACAGAGACGCAACUGGUCGAGUGGCAAAAUGGGCGAUUGAACUCCUUCCUCUAGAUAUCAAGUUUGAGGCAAAGAAAGCUAUCAAGUCCCAGGCAAUCGCGGAUUUCGUCGCCGAGUGGAUCGAACAGCAA
rnacentral:rRNA from 1 species